rnacentral:rRNA from 1 species
UACGGCGAGUGAAGCGGGAAGAGCACAAAUUUAAAAUCUACCUGGUUUCCAGGUCGAGUUGUAAUUUGAAGAAACGUUUUUGACGUUCCGGGUUGGGAUAAAUCCUUUGGGAURAGGUAUCAUGGAGGGUGAGAAUCCCGUGUAUACCAACCGCAGGGAUGUUAUUUAAUACGUUUUCUAAGAGUCGAGUUGUUUGGGAAUGCAGCUCUAAAUGGGUGGUAAAUUUCACCUAAUGCUAAAUAUAAGCGAGAGACCGAUAGCGAACAAGUACCGUGAGGGAAAGAUGAAAAGAACUUUGAAAAGAGAGUUAAAUAGUACGUGAAAUUGUUGAAAGGGAAACGAUUGAAGUCAGUCAUGCCGGCGGGAAUCAACUUAGGGGAAACUUUAAGUGCACUUCACGUUUGGCAGGUCAGCGUCGAUUUUGGAUAUCAUAAAAUGAUUGGGGGAAGGUAGCUCCUUCGGGAGUGUUAUAGCCCUUGAUAGAUGUGAUGUCUGGGAUCGAGGAUUGCAACGGAUACCCUUUGGGCUAGCCGCCUGAUCUCUAACUGGUGUUAGGUUACGGACAGCAUGCUGACCGUGAUUUAAUUACUGGUUAAAAGGUUAGAGCGAGUGUAAAUUCGUUAAGGACGCUGACGUAAUGGCUUUAAACGACC